CACAACGAUAUAUGUAUUUGCGAAAACAAUGUUUUUAGAUGUCUUAUCAUAAGACGAUCUCAAAUAAAGACAACCGCAGAAAUUUUCUAGGAAACUGUCUUUUGGCUUUUGAUUCCGGAGACCUAAAAGGCUAAAAAGUCUUGUUUCUUUUGUCCACAUCCUGGAAAUAACGAAAACGUCAAUUCUUCAUAUCUUCUCC
rnacentral:lncRNA from 1 species